CGCACUGUCUGAGGCGAUGAUGCAGCUACUGAGGUUAUACCGAGGCCCGUCAAUUGCUGGUUGAAAACUAUUUCCAAACCCCCUCUAUGGACCUCUAAGGCCACUGAGAAUUUCUGGAAGGGCUCUAUGUUAAACUGUAUAAGUGGAUUGCC